rnacentral:lncRNA from 1 species
CUUACAUUCAGCAAGAAUGACGAAGCAUAAAAAUAAAUUAAGUCUCCAUUUUUUAUCUUGCUAACAAAUUAUUCAUUUUUUCCCGCUAGGAUCUCUUAUUUCCGACAGACUUACAUGAAAUAUGCGCAUUCAAUACGGACUCCAAUCUUUGUACAAUGAAUGAAGGAGGACCUUUAACAGUUCGACUCUACGACCGCUACGUGACCAUGGGGAUACGAAUCCAGCAUCCAGCUUGCAAAUUGAAG